AGGUGUGGUAGAGGCGCGAAUGACAAAAGUACCAUGGAGGAAGUUGCGUAAACUUAUGAGCCCGUGGAAAAGGGGAUUUCGCCGAAGUCCAAAAAUUGCGUAGUUUUUGGAACUGGGUCUGUGGUUAAGAACUGCAGGACUGUCACGUGAUGUUUUAGACACGACAUCGCGUGGAGAACUACUCCCAAC
rnacentral:ncRNA from 2 species